UGGGGAAUAUUGCACAAUGGGCGCAAGCCUGAUGCAGCGACGCCGCGUGCGGGAUGGAGGCCUUCGGGUUGUAAACCGCUUUUGUUCAAGGGCAAGGCAGGC
rnacentral:rRNA from 1 species